rnacentral:tRNA from 1 species
GCUGUGGCUCAGUGGCUGAGCAUCUGCUUUGCAUGCAGAAGGUCCCCGGUUUGAUCCCUGGCAUUUCCA